rnacentral:tRNA from 1 species
ACCGCGAUAGCUCAACUGGUAGAGCUUGUGCUCCGUAUGCGGAGGGUCGCCGGUUCGAUUCCGGCUCGCGGCG